rnacentral:misc_RNA from 1 species
GAUGAAGAACGUAGCGAAAUGCGAUAAGUAGUGUGAAUUGCAGAAUUCAGUGAAUCAUCGAAUCUUUGAACGCACAUUGCGCCCCUUGGUACUCCAUGGGGCAUGCCUGUUCGAGCGUCAUUUACACCCUCAAGCUCAGCUUGGUGUUGGGCGUCUGUCCCGCUUCGUGCGCGGACUCGCCUCAAAUGCAUUGGCAGCGGUCUUGCCAGCUUCUCGCGCAGCACAUUGCGCUUCUAGAGGCUUUGGCGGAUCGGCGUCCAUCAAGUACACCCACAGUUUGACCUCGGAUCAGGUAGGGAUACCCGCUGAACUUAAGCAUAUCAAUAGCGGAGGA